UCCUCUCACUUCUUCAUGUGAAAUAGAGAGGCUUUAUUUCCUUACAGAGAAGCCAGAUUCCUUCAGGAGAGAUGUCUUGUUUCCUGAUCUCACGCAGUGGAGCAUAAGGUUGAUCUAUUGGCUUCAAUGGGACAUCUUCUAAAUGGCAUGCUGGAAAUUGGAAAGCUCAUCUCUGUUCAGCAGCAAAGAGUUGCCUUGUGUUUGCAAUAACUUAACUAGGUCUAAGGGUUGUUGUGAGGAUUACAUGAGUUACUAAGCAUGUAGUGCUUAAAACAAGGCCCCACCCAGAGCAAGAACUAAAUAAAUAUCAUCUGUCCCAAGAUCACAUUGUGUUUGGAUAUAGUCCUUGCAGCUGCCUGGGUGUCUCCUCCAGGAUCUUACCGAACCUAAAACAUGAAGCUCAGAUUAGCCUCUCCUCCGGUUUUACACAGGGUAGUUUCUGUCCAUUUCAUAAGGCCCUGAGAAGCAGAGAUCCUGCUCUAGUUUUGUCAAAGAAUCUCCACUUUCUCCCUAAGAUGUGCCCAGUAAAUCUGCAGACAUGCCUGUUUGUGCAGACUGUUUUUGUUUUUGCAAAACUGGAUACACAACGAGGGAAGAGGGUGACCUGGAGACGGAAAUGCCUUAAAAAUGUCCGAGGGUGUCUCUAUCCUGUACACCUGAAAUGCAGCCCAGGCCAAACUGGAUUUUAUUGGAACUUUUGUUGAUGCAGAUUAAACGUUAGAGAAACACGGGGAGAGAGGCUUUGAAAAAGUAUACUGGGCAGGAUGGUUCUGAGAAUUUGGGGCACACCGUUGGCUCAGGUAUCUGAUUGGCCAGCUGGAUAGCAGGAUGCUGCCUGGGCCCAGGGGUCACCUGAGGGCUGUCUCUCCCCUUGAAAGAGAAGCCUGGAUGCAUAUAGGGAUGACACAUACCAGGACUGACCCAGAUGGUCCAGGUGGCCUCAGCACAGAGGUGGAUACAGGCAGAGCGGGGACUGUUCAUACCCCUGAUUCCCUCGGACCCCUUCCGCCUGACUCCACCUUGUCCUUGGCAGUUUCCUUGUGCACAUCCAGACUCAAAGGAGAGAUCACCCACUGAAGACUGGGUCUCCAAGCUCCAGCAAAGAUGCUUAUCCCAGAUGUAGUGGGUACUCUCAGGCUACACAUGAGAAAACAGGCCCAAGAGUGGGAAGGGCUCACCCAUAGCACAUGGGACUCAGAGGCAGAGUGAAGGAAGAAGAGGUCUGGCCUCACUAGGGUCUCCUGGCAUCACUUAGGGAGCCACUGUGGGCCAGGCCAGUCCAUGGGAGCCCAUUGAACAUGGCGGACUGCCUUAAAAAACAUCCUCGGAGUUCCCAUGGUGGCUCAGUGAUAAUGAAUCUGAGUAGUAUCUAGGAAGAUGCAGGUACAAGCCCUGGACUCACUCCAUGGGUUAAGGACCUGGCUUUGCCAUGAGCUGUGGUGUAAGUUGCAGACACGGCUCAGAUCCCACAUUGCUGUGGCUGUGGCAUAGGCUGGUAGCUGUAGCUGUGAUUCAACCCCUAGCCUGGGACCUUCCAUAUGCUGAGGGUGUGGCCCUAAAAAACAAACAAACAAACAAAAAUCCUCACCUCUCUUCCAACAGAUGCUGGUGUCUCCAAACCAUGAGAAAAAAAAAUGUGUGUCCAUUUCUCAUAUUUAUCAAAGCAAGUAGCUCUUAGUGUUUUCAUCUUCUUCCCAGAUAACCCUGGCUAUGUCCACGUUGCGUGAGGUGGCCUUUGGGCUCCUUCUAACACCUUCCUGCCAACCCAGACUCUCCUUGUCUGACCAGCCCACUGCCUAUCCCAAAGAGCAUCCUUGCUGCAAAUGGGCCCCUGGGUUAACCUAGGUGGAGAGCUGAAAUCAUAGUCCUGCUUAUGGCUGUGCCCUGCUCAUCUGGUCCCACCCCUUACCAGUAAGCAUCCUGGGUUUCACCUGGUGGGGGCAUGCUUAGGGGAAUAGGACUGUACCACACUUCAGACCCCUGAUGGAGGAGGAUAUGACCCAGACACCCUCAUUCUCAUCAAACCCAACCAGAGGCAUUUCAUUUACAGAAAAUUUGCCAACCAAUUUGUUCGAGCUUAUUUGGCCUCCUGUCCCACAAAAGACCUUGCCAGAUAUCCAGAACUGUCUGGCACAAGUCUUGGGAGGAAUGAUGGACGUGUUACACCAUGGUGGUGGUGCCUUAGACCAUGCCUUUUAGUCUUUAUAACAAUCUACUGAAGUAGAGUUUACUGAAUAUGCCCACUAUGGAGAGUUUAAUUGCGUCUUGGAGAUGUUAAGACCUUUGACCAAGUGUCAAUUGCAGUGAGUUAAGUGGUGAAGUCUGGGACUCUGCCAGCGCCCUACCUGAGUGCUUUCAGCUCUUCUCUUGCAGAAGUGAGGUGGGAGCUGGGCAGGCACAGGGAAAGGGCAAGAAAAAGCAUUAGUGGUGGUAGAAGAUGGAGCUUUUCAAAUUGUCCUUCCCAAUGUCCUAGGCUUUGCCUUGGGUACCAUUUUGAGGUUCAAAGGAAGCCAGAGUCCUUCUCUGCUUCUCAUCAAAAAUGAUACACUUUUUCAUUGAAUCUGUAUUUUGGAAAAGAGGGCGUAAGAGUGAGAGAGAGAAGGAAAGGAAGUGAGAGCCAGAUCAGGAAGGGCAGAAUCCUCAGUCUGGGCUUAUUUUAGGACAUUAGGUUGUAUAAUUUAAGGCAGACCCGAAGAGUCUGCUCGCUAGACAAUGUCUGUCUCAUGGCUUCAGUUCAACAAUUUUAACAUAAACCAUGGAGUGCUUUAAUCUAUUUCUUUUCUUUUUCUUUUUCUUUUUUUUUUUUUUUUUAAAUCUGGGGUGGCAAAGCCCAACCCCAGCAUGCAUCCCAGCUUCAGCUAAAACAAGCACUUCUUUGAUUCUCUCUCAGUCUUCCCAAGAUGUUGUGACUUCCAAGGAUGCAGACAAGGUGGUAAGAGUCACAGCAGAGGCAACCUCAAGGGGCCUCGGCUCUGGCCUGGCUUCCAGGGAGAGAACGGUCCUGUGGGUACCAGCUUACCUUUCUACCCUAGUGCUAGUGACACCCACGAGAGCACGUGGCUUCUAGCUGAGGGCCAGUUGCAUUCUAAAGGUUCAGCUCAUGGAAUUCCCUGGCGGCUCAGUGGGUUAAGGAUCUGGCAUUGUCACCGCUGUGGCUUGGUUACUGCUGUGCCUCUGGUUCAAUCCCUGG
rnacentral:lncRNA from 1 species